AGUUGCUGGGUCGAGGGACGAAGGGAACCGGGGGUGCGUGUGUGAAAGCUCCGCCCCCAGCCCUAGGUCCGCCUUCCCGCUUCAGCCUGUCCAGGCGCUGCGCCAGUGCAUCCUUCAGCGAGUGCGCUACCCGGGUCCCCUUGCCCUGGAGGUAACUUCAGCAGUCAGCAGAGAGAAGAGUGGAAACCUUACUGGAUGCGGACAGGAGGGACAGGAGAGCCAGUCACUGAAGACAACGCGGAUCUGGUAAAUCGUGAAUUGUAUGUUUUCACAUAUGUUGGACAAUAGGCAGAGAGCAGAACCCAGUGAACUUGUGAUAUGAAGGAGGUAAGAAGCUUCAGUUGGCCUCAUAUGUCAAAUAAUAUCCUUCCUGAAUAAGCAAGAAUGUCAAGCUUUUACUUUCUACAUCUUGCCCUGUACUUUGUACCAGUCUCAAGUCCCAUAUGAUGCACUUUCUAGAUGAGAAGUUUUUUUUUUUUUUUUUUUUUUUUAGGAGACCUUAAAUUUUUCUGCAUUUACGUUUUAGAGUGAUGGUAUAUAUUAGUUUCACCAUGUUAAUAAUUCACGUUAUCAUAUAAAUGAUAAGCCAAAGUAAGAAAAAUAGUGAAAUGAACUGUAAAUCCAGCUACAUUUAGUUUCUAUAAUUACCAUAAAAAUUACUGUUGGUGCACUUGAUCCAAGAAGAGUCAUUCACAAUCUCUCCCUUGCAUGUUUCCCUCCUGGGUACAGAAGAUUGGAUUAGAGGUCAGCUUCUGAUACAAGAUCAGCCAAUCCAAUGCCUGACAUUAGAGUUUUGCAAAGUUGCCUAAAAAGACAUUAAUUUUCCUCCAGAUGACAGAAACUAAAGUCAGGUAAAUGUGGCGGCUCUUGGUAUACUUGGAUGCUGAGGAUCAGACACAGUGGCUUGGUAAUGAGAGAGACAAAUGAGGCAGACACCCAGAGAAAAAGGAAAUUAAGGAGCAGUAAAAGCAUUUUAUGCCCCUCCCUCCACUCUGCCAAACUUCACGGCUCAUGCACUUUGGCUAACUAUAAUACUUACCUGCCGUUGUUUACCAAAUUGCCUCAAAACUAAGUGGCUUAACACAAAAGCGUGUAUUAUCCCACAAUUUCUGUGGGUUGAGAAUCUAUACAGGAUGUAGUUGGAUCCCCCAUCUCAGAGUCUUUCAUGAGAUUGCAAAGUCCUGACUGAGGCUGUGGUUUCAUCUGAAAUUUCAAAUGGGGAAGGGUCCUUUCCUAAGUUCACUCAUAUGGUUGCAGCAGGAUUCAGUUCCCUGCAGACUGUUACACUAAGAGCCCCAGUUUCUCACUACCUGUUGACCAGAGGCUGCCCUCAGUUUCUUGCCACAUAAGCCUCUCAGCUUACAGCAUGAUGUCUGCCUUCAUCAGAGUGAAAAGAGAAAGAGCAACCAAGAAGGAAGUCACAGUCGAACUAAUCUCAGAGGAGAAUCUUAUGACCUUUGCUGCAUUUUGCUUGUUAGAAGUUACUACAGCCAGCCUCUACUCAUGGUAGGGAAAUGACACAAGGUGUGGGUAUCAUGAGGUAGGAAUCUUUGAGAGCCAUUUUAAUGGCAACCUAACACACUAACACAUUUCAGUCCUUAGGCAGUGUGAAAUAAUCCUAAUAUCCCUGCAAUACCUCUUAAUGCUUGCCUAAAUUAGUCAAAAUUGUUUUCUAUUAUUUACAACCAAACUUCUUACAUAUAUACUAUAGUUUGAUAAAAUCCAAAUUUAGAAUCAAGAUGUAAUUGUAUUAUGAGAAAAUGCAUUACUCCAGUUCUAAGUUCCCUUGUCACACAUACACACAGACACAGACAACUAACAGACUAUUUAAUGGUGAUACAGGCUGAUAUAUGAGAAAACAGAAUACUAAGAAUUCUUACUACUAGGAAAAUAAAUCCUGUGAAGAUUAAAAUUGCUGCAUUUUCAAGUAGUCAGUG